rnacentral:rRNA from 1 species
AAAACUUUCAACAACGGAUCUCUUGGUUCUGGCAUCGAUGAAGAUCGCAGCGAAAUGCGAUAAGUGAUGUGAAUUGCAGAAUUCAGUGAAUCAUCGAAUCUUUGAACGCACAUUGCGCCCGCCAGAAUUCUGGCGGGCAUGCCUGUUCGCGCGUCAUUU